UGUAGACUCGUGCUUUAAAAAAAAUGUUUUGCUUUUAAAAAGGUUUAAGUAAGCUUAAAAGAUUAAAUAAGCCUAGUCAUUCGAAACUCAUGUGCUGCAUCGACUCCAAGGUAUGUGUUUUAAUUGUUCAAGUAUAUGACCGUUAUAUGUUUUAGCUAGAUUACAUGUAAUACAUGAUAUUUUUUUUUUAUGAUGCUUUUAUGUUCUAGUACUAUUAUGUUUAGCUUCGUUAGAAAUAGGUGUAAUUGUGAAUUGUUUAGAUGGCACGAAUGAGGUAUGAUUAGAAAUUUCGAGGACAAAAAUUAUUUUAAGCGGGGUAGGUUGUAACAUCCCGAUAAUUUAAAUUUAUUUUAUAAGUUUAAUUAAUAGUAUUUUCUUGUAUAACUUUUUUUUAAAUAAUUACAUGAUACAUACAGAUAUGCACCAUUAAUUUUAGCUAGACUAUUAUUAUUAUUAUUAGUAUUAUUUUUUUUGUUUCCUAUUAGAACUAUAACUCUUUAAAAGACUAGUAUAAAUAUGAAAUCAAUUUACAAACCCUAAAGGAGACAUAGAAACUCGAAGUCAACAGUAAAUUUUAGUCGGGUUUUGGAGAGCUGUGGGGCGCAGGAAACGUGAGGAGCUGGAGUCAGAUUUUCGCAGGAAAUCAAGUUCCGGCAGUUUCGGGAGAACGGCCAUAACUUCCUCCACAGAACUCCGAUUCAGGCGAAACAGGCGGCCACGAAAAGCUCUCUCGAAGGCGAAGAAGUCGUAUUUCUAGGAAAAAUACGAUUUGAGGACGUUUGAGGCUUCAAACGAAGGCUUGAAGCUGACUGGUCUGUUCAGCUGCGAGUUUGACGAAAACUUUAGAAAUUUCAAGAGUUCAUAUAGGGAUGCGUUGGUAGAAAUCAUCAAAGGGAGUUAUCAAUUUCAAGAAUUAGUUUUGCAGUUUUGGAGUCGAGGUGGCCAUGGAAGUCGAGAAUGACUAAGAGAUUUAGUUUUCCCAUAGAAUUUAAGUUGAACUUGUUAAGUUUUAGUUUAUCGUUCUUAUUUUAUGUUACUACUUUAGUAUUGACAAAUUGAUUUUUAAAUUAGUUUAAAUUAUGAAAGUCAAGAAAUUUUAUUU